UACGGAGGGGGCUAGCGUUGUUCGGAAAUACUGGGCGUAAAGCGCACGUAGGCGGCGCAGCAAGUCAGGGGUGAAAUCCCGGGGCUCAACCCCGGAACUGCCCUUGAAACUGCAGUGCUAGAAUCUUGGAGAGGCGAGUGGAAUUCCGAGUGUAGAGGCGAAAUUCGUAGAUAUUCGGAAGAACACCAGUGGCGAAGGCGACUCGCUGGACAAGUAUUGACGCUGAGGUGCGAAAGCGUGGGGAGCAAACAGG
rnacentral:rRNA from 1 species